AAGCAGGCUCCAGUUUAUUUGCAAGUUAAAGCUAGAUGAUGAAGUGACUAUGGCUAUUUGCCAGUCCAAUAGUCAAUCGAAGACGAGUCUGUUUGCAAGACUGAUUUAUGUAAUUAUUUACCCUGAAUUUAUACAAAGCUAUUAACAUGGCUUAAAUGUAAAGUGUUUGUUCAGCAGUUUGGUUCGAAUUCGAUAGUUGACCCAGUUUGGCCGAUUUACAGCGACGAUAGAAAAGCUGAGUCGCUUGCACACAUACCGUAUGUCUAUGAACUGUAUACUAUACCGAGUGUUCCCACAGGACCCCCUCCCUAGUGAUUAGCGAUAUUAGUUACCCUGCUGUGAAGUAUUUUGGGAAGUGUACUCGACGUCACGAGCGGGUUGUUUUUGUUGAUGGUGCGGCGUCGUUGUUGGAGGCUACAAGCGCAGGAGACGAUUGUGGGUGUUGUCCUUCUGCUAAUUCAAGUCGGAAAGUACAUACAGUUUUCUCCUUGUUGGGCAAUUCAACGGUGAACGUCUGGCCGUUCCUGCUGAUAAACUUGAAAGGGCCGUCGUAUGUCAUUUGUAGCUGGUUUUUAGGACCAUCGUGUCGAACUAGGACGCAUUGUGCUGUUUAGAGAUCUUUGCAGAUGUCGUAUUCCGGAUAAAGGCUGUAAUAGUUGGACGUGUUAGCGAAGCUGUUGUAUGAAGGAAUAUGGGUUUUUAUUGGUAUGUGAGCAUAGUGGAGAUAAGAAUCCUCCAGAUAGAGGGUGCUCGAAUGCCUGAUAACAGUGUUAUUUUCAUGACAUGUUAUUGCAGCCUUCAACUGGCGAUAAAAUAGAAAACUGCAGCAUGGUAUGCCGUGGUAUGGAUGUGUUUGGUGUUCGUUAGAUAUCACAGUUCGUUGAAGAGUUAAGAUUCGAACUAUCUAUCUUGGUCUAUGGUAAUCCGUGAGGGUGCACCAAAUCGACAGAUCCAUCCUUCGUAGAAAGCACGUGCUGCAGUUGCAGCUUCUUGAUCUUUGAUGGUAACUGCUUCGGUCCAACGUGUGAAUCGAUCUACGCAUGUAAGGCAGUAGCAGUAUCCUUCAGAGUAUGACAUUACGACAAUGUCUAGGUAUUCCAAUGCGACGAGGAUAUCGUCGAUGUACGCGAAACAAAAAUCUUCGUCUAUGAAUCUUUGAAAUGUUUGGCUGGCGUUGCAACGUCUUCGUCAGCAACCGAAACUUGAUUGUAUGCUCGAACCAGGUCAAUUGUGGACAAUAUUGUUUUGUUUGAUAAGGCAUGCGUAAAAUCUCCGACGUUUCGGACAGGAUAUCUAUCGAGAAUGGCUCUGGCAUUAAGUGAGCGAUAAUCUCCGCAGGGUCGUCAUUCAUCCAUCGUCUUUCCUCGGGACCACGUAUAGUGGCGAUGCCCAGAAAAUGGAGGAAGGGCGAGCGAUGCCCAGUUAUACCAGUAUCUCGAAUUCUCUUUUGGCUGCUGCAAAUCGGUACGGAGCUAGACGUCGUGCUCUGCAAGCUACGGGAGGACCAGGGGACCAUUAUUGGAUGUUGGAGGUUAUAGUGCGUCCGCGGACCGAGUCAAUGAUGCUGUCGGCAAAUACACCAACGUCAUCCAGGUCCUUGACUUUGAGGUCUGUCUUGAUUGUGCUGCAUGGAUCUUCCUUCGGAGGGUCGGCGAUCAUGUCACGUACUUCUGCGACACAUCAAGGAUCAAGAUUACCAAGUAGAUAACCAAAUUGGUAGUUUCCGAAGUGGUUGCAGAGGAAUCGAAAGUGCAAUCUGCCGUGCAGAACCACAACUUCGGGUCGGAUCGAAUAAAGGGUGGCAGUUUGACUGUCAAGCGGUCCACAUACAUACACACCCUGUAUUUUACUAUGUCAUUGUAAUUCUCAGUUCACCCAUUAGUGCAUGGUAUCCGUUUAAACGGAUACCGCUAUGAAGUGCGUUUACUGACAUUUGAGGUUGUGAUUUAAAUUUUUUUUGACGUUAGUGCAUUAUUAAAGUUAAUACGUGUACGUUUGAAUAUAUGAUAUAGACUU
rnacentral:lncRNA from 1 species